rnacentral:rRNA from 1 species
AUUGAACGCUGGCGGCAGGCUUAACACAUGCAAGUCGAACGAGUGGCGGACGGGUGAGUAAUGUCUGGGAAACUGCCCGAUGGAUUGGGAUAACUACUGGAAACGGUAGCUAAUACCGCAUUCCAUCGGAUGUGCCCGGAUGGGAUUAGCUUGUCGGGUAGGUAACGGCACACCUGGGCUACGCUUUCUAGCUGGUCUGAGAGGAUGACCAGCGACACUGGAACUGAGACACGGUCCAAACUCCUACGGGAGGCAGCAGUGGGGAAUAUUGCACAAUGGGAGCAAGCCUGAUGCAGCCAUGCCGCGUGUAUGAAGAAGGCCUUCGGGUUGUAAAGUAGUUUCAGCGGGGAGGCGUUACCCGCAGAAGAAGCGCCGGCUAACUCCGUGCCAGCAGCCGCGGUAAUAC